GACGUAGGAGGCAAGCGUUGCUCGGAAUUACUGGGCGUAAAGGGCGCGUAGGCGGAUAGUUUAGUCAGAGGUGAAAGCCCAGGGCUCAACCUUGGAAUUGCCUUUGAUACUGGCUAUCUUGAGUACGGAAGAGGUAUGUGGAACUCCGAGUGUAGAGGUGAAAUUCGUAGAUAUUCGGAAGAACACCAGUGGCGAAGGCGGCUCUCUGGACAGGUACUGACGCUGAGACGCGAAAGCGUGGGUAGCAAACAGG
rnacentral:rRNA from 1 species